rnacentral:rRNA from 1 species
GAUGAACGCUGGCGGCGUGCUUAACACAUGCAAGUCGAACGGGAAACCUUUUAUUGAAGCUUCGGCAGAUUUAGCUGGUUUCUAGUGGCGGACGGGUGAGUAACGCGUGGGUAACCUGCCUUAUACAGGGGGAUAACAACCAGAAAUGGUUGCUAAUACCGCAUAAGCGCACAGGACCGCAUGGUCCGGUGUGAAAAACUCCGGUGGUAUAAGAUGGACCCGCGUUGGAUUAGCUAGUUGGCAGGGUAACGGCCUACCAAGGCGACGAUCCAUAGCCGGCCUGAGAGGGUGAACGGCCACAUUGGGACUGCGACACGGCCCAGACUCCUACGGGAGGCAGCAGUGGGGAAUAUUGCGCAAUGGGGGAAACCCUGAUGCAGCGACGCCGCGUGAAGGAAGAAGUAUCUCGGUAUGUAAACUUCUAUCAGCAGGAAAGAUAGUGACGGUACCUGACUAAGAAGCCCCGGCUAACUACGUG